CCUACGGGAGGCAGCAGUGAGGAAUAUUGGUCAAUGGACGAGAGUCUGAACCAGCAAAGUAGCGUGAAGGAUGACUGCCCUCUGGGUUGUAAACUUCUUUUAUAUGGGAAUAAAAUGUUCCACGUGUGGGAUUUUGUAUGUACCAUAUGAAUAAGGAUCGGCUAACUCCGUGCCAGCAGCCGCGGUUAUACGGAGGAUCCGAGCGUUAUCCGGAUUUAUUGGGUUUAAUGGGAGCGUAGGUGGAUUGUUAAGUCAGUGGUGAAAGUUUGCGGCUCAACCGUAAAAUUGCAGUUGCAACUGGCAGUCUUGAGUACAGUAGAGGUGGGCGGAAUUCGUGGUGUAGCGGUGAAAUGCUUAGAUAUCACGAAGAAAUCCGAUUGCGAAGGCAGUUCACUGGACUUCAACUGACACUGAGGCUCGAAAGUGUGGGUAUCAAACAGGAUUAGAUACCCUUGUAGU
rnacentral:rRNA from 1 species